rnacentral:rRNA from 1 species
CGUACUGGCAUUGUUGGUUUCUCCCUUCUGACGAACCAUGAUGUCAUUUAUUUGGUGUUGUGGGGAAUCAGGACUGUUACUUUGAAAAAAUUAGAGUGUUUAAAGCAGGCUCACGCUUGAAUACAUUAGCAUGGAAUAAUGAAAUAGGACGUUUGAUUCUAUUUUGUUGGUUUCUAGGAUCGACGUAAUGAUUAAUAGGGAUAGUUGGGGGCAUUAGUAUUCAAUUGUCAGAGGUGAAAUUCUUGGAUUUAUUGAAGACUAACUACUGCGAAAGCAUUUGCCAAGGAUGUUUUCAUUAAUCAAGAACAAAAGUUAGGGGAUCGAAGACGAUCAGAUACCGUCGUAGUCUUAACCAUAAACUAUGCCGACUAGGGAUCGGAUGAUGUUAAUUUUUUAAUGACUCAUUCGGCGCCUUACG